UUGGAGGGCAAGUCUGGUGCCAGCAGCCGCGGUAAUUCCAGCUCCAAUAGCGUAUAUUAAAGUUGUUGCAGUUAAAAAGCUCGUAGUUGAACCUCGGGGUCUACCCAUUGGUCAGGCUUAAUUGUCUGCACUGGUGAGAUGGAUCUCUACCUUCUGAGGAACUUUCAUGCCAUUUAUUUGGUGUGAUGGGAAAUCAGGACUGUUACUUUGAAAAAAUUAGAGUGUUUAAAGCAGACUAUCGUCUGAAUACAUUAGCAUGGAAUAAUGAAAUAGGACGGACUGAUUCUAUUUCGUUGGUUUCUAGGAUCACCGUAAUGAUUAAUAGGGAUAGUUGGGGGCAUUAGUAUUCAAUUGUCAGAGGUGAAAUUCUUGGAUUUAUUGAAGACUAACUACUGCGAAAGCAUUUGCCAAGGAUGUUUUCAUUAAUCAAGAACGAAAGUUAGGGGAUCGAAGACGAUCAGAUACCGUCGUAGUCUUAACCAUAAACUAUGCCGACUAGGGAUCGGAUGAUGUUAAUUUUUUAAUGACUCAUUCGGCGCCUUACGGGAAAC
rnacentral:rRNA from 1 species